UACGUAGGGAGCAAGCGUUGUCCGGAAUCAUUGGGCGUAAAGCGCGCGUAGGCGGCCUUGUAAGUCCGUUGUGAAAGUCAAAGGCUCAACCUUUGAAAGCCGAUGGAUACUGCAAGGCUAGAGUCCGGAAGAGGCGAGUGGAAUUCCUGGUGUAGCGGUGGAAUGCGCAGAUAUCAGGAGGAACACCAAUAGCGAAGGCAGCUCGCUGGGACGGUACUGACGCUAAGGCGCGAAAGCGUGGGGAGCGAACAGG
rnacentral:rRNA from 1 species